rnacentral:rRNA from 1 species
UACGUAGGCAGCGAGCGUUGUUCGGAGUUACUGGGCGUAAAGGGUGUGUAGGCGGUUGUUUAAGUUUGGUGUGAAAUCUCCCGGCUCAACUGGGAGGGUGCGCCGAAUACUGAAUGACUUGGAGUGCGGGAGAGGUGAGUGGAAUUCCUGGUGUAGCGGUGAAAUGCGUAGAUAUCGGGAAGAACACCUAUGGCGAAGGCAGCUCUCUGGGACGGUACUGACGCUGAGACGCGAAAGCGUGGGGAGCGAACAGG